AGAAUCAACGCUGGCGGCGUGCCUAACACAUGCAAGUCGCACGAGAAAGGGACUUCGGUCCUGAGUACAGUGGCGCACGGGUGAGUAACACGUGAAUAAUCUACCUCCGAGUGGGGAAUAACUGAGAGAAAGUCUUGGCUAAUACCGCAUAACACUUACGAGUCAAAGCAGCAAUGCGCUUGGAGAGGAGUUCGCGGCAGAUUAGUUAGUUGGCGGGGUAAUGGCCCACCAAGACGAUGAUCUGUA
rnacentral:rRNA from 1 species